rnacentral:misc_RNA from 1 species
AAGUCGUAACAAGGUUUCCGUAGGUGAACCUGCGGAAGGAUCAUUAAUUAAAUGAUAACAUCAAUCAGCCACGUGAGUGAAUAAUUGACUAGUCAAUUGUUAACUCUAUUGGCAUUUUGUUCAAUUAUUGAAAUAGUAUUUUAAAUAUUAUUUCAAGCUAUUUUGGGGGUAAAAUCCCAAAAUUAAAACCAAUUUUAAUAUUUAUUAAACUAAAACGCAUUCUAUUGUAUUUAAUUGUAAAAUUAAUAUAACAACUAAUAACAAUGGAUCUCUUGGCACU